ensembl:lncRNA
GUUUUCCUGCUCAGCAACUGAAACUCCAGGGAGAAUGGAAGUGGCUCCAUGAACGAGCCGAAGAAGAGAGAGCACAGCUGGAGCACAAUGAACUCAAUUCAGCGAGGACGGAGCGCAGAAGGGAGUGAAGGAAAAGCAAGAGGGAAAUUCCUGAGGUUGGAAUGGCAUUUGUUUGCCUUUGCUCUGUACCAGGAAGGUUGGGAAGAGAAGAGAGGACCAGCAGAAAGCAUCAAUGGUGCUAGGACAAAGCAAAUAAAGUGUUUGCUGUGUUCCAGAAGCUGCUUUAGAUAG